AUUGAACGCUGGCGGCAGGCCUAACACAUGCAAGUCGAGCGAGCGGCGGACGGGUGAGUAAUGUAUGGGGAUCUGCCUGAUGGAGGGGGAUAACUACUGGAAACGGUAGCUAAUACCGCAUACCAUCAGAUGAACCCAUAUGGGAUUAGCUUGUAGGUGAGGUAACGGCUCACCUAGGCGACGAUCCCUAGCUGGUCUGAGAGGAUGAGCAGCCAAACUGGGACUGCGAAACGGCCCAGAGUCCUACGGGAGGCAGCAGUGGUGAAUAUUGCACAAUGGGCGCAGGCCUGAUGCAGCCAGGCCGCGUGUAUGAAGAAGGCCUUAGGGUUGUAAAGUACUUUCAGUCGGGAGGCGUUACCGGCAGAAGAAGCACCGGCUAACUCCGUGCCAGCAGCCGAGGUAAUUC
rnacentral:rRNA from 1 species